GCUCAUUCCAAACUGCAGCGUGGAUGGAACAUGGCAGUGGCCAAGCCUAAAAAUUUACACUUCUCCCCCUAAACUAAGAAAUUACCACUAUCUGAACCAUCCAUCUUGGCAAGGCUCAAAGCUGCCAAGAAAAUGAGCUCCCAUUUGGGCCAUGGAUCAGAUCUUGUCUACUCACACUAUGUUUAUUUCACGUUCAAGUCCAAUAGGAACCUAAGGAAGUGAACUGUUCAACAGUUUUUGCCUUCAUCAGCACCUCCAACUCCUCAGGCAGUGAACAGAGAGGAGGAUACCAGCUCUGUUUAUAAGGUCACUUUCCCAGUGCUUCAGCAAGAGCUGCCAGAAUGCUGCUCCUUCUUGUACCAUAGAACAGUUCUCCCCAGCAUUUGAACUGCCAUGGCUGCCUUACAAUUGCCUCGCACAGAAGGGUGUUGUUUCUUAUUGUUUGUAGAUCUGCACUUGAAUUGUGAAACCAAGCUGUAGCCCAGAGACAGGAAAUCCUUUUACCAUCCUUUACCUUGGUGCUUCAAGAAGGAAAAUAGCAGCUAAUAAAGGCCAGGAUGUGCAGUCGGUGGAUGGAUUAGAAAAAUUCGCACAAACAAUGAGUGAAAAGUGUAUCCAUUUCACAACUGGCAGCAUUUCCAACAGAAGCUAUCAGGAUAACGUCUGACUCCCACUCUACUCAGCAAAUGAGCAAGGGUAGAAAAGAAGAAUGGUAAAGAGUCUGGAAGCUGAAUAAAAACUCUAGUGGCAAAAAUUGAAGUAGCAGCAGUAAGAAAUGAGUAGUGAUCUAUCUAUUUCCAAGGAAGUAUAUAGCCAUUAAAAGUACCAUGGGAGAAUGAAAGUUCUAAGACUCUUCUUAUAAGUAGGGCAUAUUUUACUAAUAGAUGAAAAGAUAAAAUGAUAAAAUGUUUUACAUGUUGCUAAGAACUUCAAAUCAUUACAGACAUCAUUUGAGCUAUAAAAGCAAGACACUUUGUAUAUUUCAUGCUGAGCUUUCUGGAUUUAAACUAUAGCAUGCUUCUCAAAUUUAUUCAGAUUAAUUAGCAAUAGCUGUAAUGGAAGUUAGUGCCUUGCCAUUGCUCAGCACCCUGCAGGCAUAAAUAGCAUGAAAAAUAUGAUAGUACUAUGAUUUUAUUGAUAUCUGCAGAAUUACAGAAUAUGAAAUACACAAGGACUGCUCCAAAAGUAUGUUAAAAAAACGUUCUGUAGCUGAGAAUUUUCUCUAUCAAACAGUGUCACAGUGCUCUUUGUAGCUGUAGCAGUUUUCAUGGAAAUAAAGAGGAGGCAUUACUUUCAGAGCAACCUACAUAUACUUAAGAGGAAAUUUAGCAAAGAGGAGCCCUUUUUAAAAAAAACACCAAAUGAAGCUCCAGCAGCAUCUAGGAAGAAUAAAAUACUUUUCAUGUAAGCAUCAAGGACUAUGAAGCUCAAAAUCUCAUUCAACAGUAUUUGUUUUAAAAUCACAAGAGAUUUGGAAUCACAAAAAUGUUUUUGGAGCAAAAUGUUACCUGCCUGCAUUUGCCAAUCCUCAUCUGCUGAAUCAGGGCACAUUUACACCUUCAAUCAUUCAGACUGCAAUACAGAAUCAAUACCCACACUGUUGGUUUUAUUCAGUAAUCUCCGUCAAAUGUCUCUGAGAUGGAUGGUUACAAUCAAUCAUACUGGACCCACAGUUGAAAAUCUUAUAUGUUCUUGGCCUGACAGGGGAUUUUCUGUCAGGCAAGUGUUCCAGAAUGAAAGUAAAAAUUACAGUCAUAGUCCCAGCCAUCUAUUUCAAUGAGCUACUGAAGGAGGAUUAAAAGCACAUCCUGUUAAUCCUCAAGUGUUUUUGAUGUAUCUGGAACACUGAGUUUUCCUUCCAGAUUAUUGCGUUAGGACUGAUCAAGGUUGUGUUUGAGAUAAGUAGCAAUUUUGCGAUGGACUUCAGUAGCAGCUGGAUCAGACACUGGAACUGCUUCUAAGAGGUGCUCAUUCCAGCUCCUAGGCAGCAACUAUGACAGCAGACAUACACUAAUCAAGAACUGAGAGUAAAACACUACCACAAAAACUCCCUUCACUAUUUAUUUCCUCCUCCACUGUACUUGGAGCUUGAAAGACAUGCAGCCUGUUUCAUUCUGUUCACUAAGUAUUAAAAACUGUGUCAGUGACUGGAGACUUCUGAGGAAGUACAAAUAUUUUAAAGUUCAAGAACUUGAAAUGUUCAUCUUCUGCACGGCACUAUAAAACCUUUUGGAAUAAAUAAUCCUGAAAGUGUACAUCAAAAUCUUCAACAAAAUCCAUGUCAAACACUUCUCAUGGAAUAACCAGGGAUUUGGAUACAGCAGCAGGAUUCUGUUGUGGAAGGAACUGACAAAAGGUUGAAGCAAAGCAUGUAGUAAUGCCUAAAAUGGCAUGAAAUGCUGCUGAUCCUGUCGCCGCAAGCCUAAAAUCUUGUUAGCCUUAGCUGACUGCUGCCUCCAGUUUUAUAGAUUCUUUGCCUAAUAUUUAUCUGAAGAACAAGAUGCUGUUCAAGUAAGUUUGUAGUACACUUUUACAUCAUAUUAAGUUUUAAGUUUUCUUGCUUCAGUGCUUCUCAACUUAUUUGAAUAGACAGUAUUGUAACACUGAAUUAAGGCUCUUAUUCCUUCAGCUGCCCUGCAAUUUGAGGAACAGCAUCUGGAAGAAAAUUAAAAUAGUAAAACUAAACGCUUACAUUAAUUUCCUAAAUAAGGUGUGUAAAGAUGGCCGUGUUUUCAUAAGCAGCAAACUUCUUGAUUAAUGAGACUGGCCUGCAAACACUUGGCCAUGAAAAAAAUUGUUUGAUCAGGUAUUGAUAAUCAACUCUCAUCUUGUAGGCCUUAGAGAAGCAAUAUAAUUGCUAUAUAACAGUAUUCUAAAGAAAGCAAUCUAUUUAAUUACAAAAGGUGUAUGAAAGCCCAAAAUACAGCAGCAGACAGCUACUGAAAAGCCAUUCAUUAUAAUUAUCAUCAUAAUAAUUAUAAAUGCCUGAUUAAAUGGAGAGAACCUUGUAACGUAUUUAGCAAAGCAUGAGGUCUCACAAUUAAUGAUUUCCGGAAAUAAAAUCAGCUGAGCACAGACAAGAUUAAGACAGCAGUAGAAAAAUGUGUACUGUUACUAUUGUCAUUGAUCAAGGUACAUUUUACUGAUGUACCUCUAAAGACCAGUUUGCUAAAUAAGCCUUCACCAUUCAGAGCAGCUUUUUCGUACUUUCUGUACCACAGCUGCCCUAAUAUGAAGAUAUAUGUACAUAUUUGUUCUCACAAGGUCAUAACAGGAAUAAAAGUACAGAAGGAUCCACCAACCACAGAGAGCUGACACCUUUUUAGACCCUCUGUUUGUACUUCACUUGUGAAGCGCAACCUAGAUUUCCAAAUGAUGGCUGGAUUAAAAAGGAAAACAGUUAUCCAUUUGCUGGGAAGAGAACCUUUCUGAAAGUUAACAGAAAAGUAGUAUACAUUUUCUAUUCUUUUUAAAAAAUCAUAUGCAGAGACAACAUGUGGCACUCACGGGUCAUUAGUUGAGCUGAGUUAGAUCUUCACACCUGUAUUGUAGGGGAGGAAAAGGAAAAAAUAGUAUAGACUAGGUACACAAAAGCACUAAAAAACCAAAACAUUCAACGAAGUUGUGCUCUUGUACACAUUAAAAAAUGACAUUUAAAACACCUUGAGUGAGGAAAACAACAACAAAAAAAUUCCAAGAUGUAUAUAUUCCAACUUUGAUCUGGUCUGGGUAGGUAAUGUCUCUGUACAGAUACAGAGCUGAUGCAGAGUGUUAACAUCUUUGAAAGUCCUGGAAAAACGGAUGAUUUAUUUUCAUAUAACACAAUACUGUCAGACUCAGAGAACACCAGCAUUCUGUCAAGAACUUUCACCUACAUAACUAUUCCAACAACUCCCAAGAGGUGGUUUUGUUGGUAGUGGUGUUGUUUUUGUUGGCUUUUGUUGUUGUUUUUUCCAACAGCUUGCGUGUUACCCCUAGCAGUAAACUGACUACAAGUUAAGUACUGCUUCUUCCUUUCUCUCUCCCGCAUAAUAAUUUGACUAUAACUCAUUAAUCCCAACCAUAUAUUACAUAAAUGAAAACUCCUUAAGACUUGUUCUCAAAUUACGCUUCUAAUAUUUUGAUGGUAGACAGGAGAUAUGGGCUAUAGUCUUUAUUUUCAUUUACUAUAAGAUAAAUCCUGAGAAUAUCUCUAUUUUAAGAAAUGCACUUGCUACAACUCUUGCAGUCUUCCAUCUCCUAUCUACAGGCCUACCCACUCUACUGAAAUUAAAUUACCUUCUGUGAAUUCCACACCUCUAGCUUCCUUUACUACAUGUACACAUCCUACCUGCAUAGAAAUUUCUUGAAGAUAUUGCAAGGCUCCUAAAGGUAGAGCUAUUAACUCCGACAUUAACAUCCAAUGCUUCCCAGCAAAAAAUCCUCUUCCUAAGUCAGAUAACUGGUUCACACUUUGAAAUAGACUUUUUAAAAACAUUUUACAGUUCAGCUUUGACAGUCUACAAAGGGCCCUGUUUGAGGAAACAUUCAGGUUAAGGGGGCUGCCUGAAGGAAAAAGGAAUAAUAGAAGAGGGAGGCUGUUUUGAUAAGGAAGUAGAAAAGAUAAUGAGCUAAGAACUAAGAUGAAGUAUAUCUGAACUUCCGUGUUCCAUCCACUUAUUUCAUGCUCUUUCUGUAGGAAGGAACAGCAGACACUGUCCUAGCAUGAGAUCAGGAUCUUUAGGCAAAGGCCUACUGGUGAUAUGGCAGUCAGGCAGAAAAUCCUGAAAACAAGGUCUUUAAUUUCUCAGUUGUCAUGCCAGAUUAGUGCCACAGGGGAUAAUUUCUAUCUUGCUUUCAGACAUCCCCAUUCAAGUUGGAUCAAAAAUGCAAAACACCAAGUUUGGUAAUCUCAGCUGAGCUCUAUUUGCACAGCUAUUUAUAUCAGGCAUGUUGGCAUGGUCAAAAAUUUCAAGAUAUUCAACCACAGUGGUAUUAAUAGAACAAAAGAACAUGGAGGCUUACUGCAUUGGUUUUUCAGUUCUGUGUUUCACUGGACAGUAUACAAAUUAAGUGGGAAAGUGGGAUAAACAUGUUUCUAUUCUAUUCACAGUAUAUUUAAAUUUUCAAAGAGGCACCUACACAGGUCUGAUAAUCAAAUCAAAUGCCUUUGUAGUGUGCUAGGCCUGACAAUCAAAUCAAAUGACCUUGUAGGGGCUGAAGAGGCUUUACCAUGCCAAGGAUAUGAUAACUGAAAACAAAGGAAUAAUUUCCACAGUGACUGAGAACACAUACUGCUGCUUCUGUAUGGAACUAACGUCUCUAACUAUAAAGUUACUUCUCUUGCUCCUCCAGUGCUCAAACAUUACACCCCUUUUUUUUUUUUCCAAGACAUGUUCAGGUAAAUCAACCAACAUUUGAAUCUAUUCUUCAUGAAACUCAGUCACAGUUAUUAGCAAACUAGACCCUUUCUGAAAAACAGAACUUCUAACAAUUAGUAUUCUCAAAGUCCACCCUCUCACUAUUACUCUGUUUCUGGAAACUACCUGUGUUUCAGAAAAUAAAUUAACUGAAAGGGUGGACAAAGAUUCAUAUUGUUUAACAUGGAUGCAAAUUAUUCUCAAAUUUCAUCAGCAAGCAGUGAGAUAUUCUCAAAUACACAAUAAAUCAGGGAGGUGUGUAGGGAAGACUAGUAUCAUCUCACCAUCAGUAUCACUCUCACACAAAAUAAACGGAUCUACGAUCUUCCCAGGAGUAACAAUAGCACUGAAAUAGAUCUCAUAAUGAAGAUGCAAGUUU